GUCAUGCUCCGGCGGCAAUAAAAAGCCCCCGGAACAACAUGUGAGAACAUCCAUCUCAAUACAUCCAUCUCAUCGUGCACACAGGGCAGACGUCUACAGAAGAAGAGCAGAAUGAAUAAUAGUCUGAAGAAAAGUGUGAGUUCCUCCACUGCCACCUCUGGAACAAGCAAUCAAGUCGUCCGGUAUGGAGUCACUUCUACUCAGGCCACGUUGACGGUGAAGAACACGACACAGAUUAAAGUUCCUACUCCAAAAGGAAUUGACAGCUACACUGUCAAAGAAACACACAAAUACCAAGUGAAAAAAGACUGAGUGCUGCUGAGCUGAUGAAGUCCAGUUCCCAGGACUACAGUCGGCAGAAUGCAGAUACUCUGCCUUGUUCACAGUCACAGGAUUCUGAUUGAGCACACCUUUGCUCGAUCAAACACACACACACACACACACACACACACACACACACACAUACACACACACUUUAUAAGAGAGUUUCACUCACCAUCAGGUUGUGAAGUCUACACUUAGUUAGUUCUGUACUCCUGAUGUGGCCAAGCCUGUCAUCCUAUGUUUGGUGGUUUGGCUUGCUGCUAUUUUCUUGAGUGGUGAUUUUGCCUUUCCCAGUUCCUCCAGUUUAUUAAUCGACUGUCUCUUGACUUUGAACUUGACGGCUGUUUUAUGAUUUGUUUGCCUUUCUGCCUUUCAUCUCAAUAUUUCUCUCAUAUGACUUGUAGAAACAAUGCCCUGUAUUUGUGCCAUUAAAAGGAUAGCUAUGUGUGAAAAACUGCGUGUAAAGGCCAAAACGUAGUUUAAGUUGUUCAAUAUCCAAACUUGUAGUAUAUUUAUAAAAUGUUAUUGAACUUUAAAAAAGAUUGGUUAUGAAUUUGUUAAAUAUUGAAGAUUUUCCAAACCCUUGUUAUUUUUCUGCUAUAAGAUAUGAAUUAUAGAAUGUUACUCAGGCCAGCAUCUUUAUAUCUAGUCAGUGUUACUCGGUCUACAUUGGUCAUACUACCGUAGAAUAAACUGAUGAUGAAUUUGUCAAAUAAUUUUCCUAAUCAAGUUAUGGGAAUGUGAUUUAUUGUUGCCAUAAGUAUAUAUGAUAUAUAAUUAGUAGUUAUUUAACCUACAGUAUAAUUGAGGGUGAAUGUAAAGGUGUAGAGUAGCCUAAACCCAUCUAAACCCAUUAACCAUAUACAUGCUUCUCAAAUGACAAAAAAUAAAUAAAUAAACACAAACACCUGCCCUUAAACCUUCCCAAAAAGGAUUAAUAAGGAAACAGUGUUUAUUGUUUGUGGUCAAAUGUAAUACAAUGUAACAUGAAAUCGAGAGACGAAUAAAAAAUGAAAAACAAAA